rnacentral:lncRNA from 1 species
GGAAAACAGGUGGAGAAUAUUUCUGAGCAAUUGCCUGGUUAAGGGCUAGUGGUCUCUAGCUGUUUUUUAUCCCCCCUCCCUUUCCACUUGGAAAAGUCCUAGCUAAGCUUCAAGAUUCUGCACUAUUGUCCAGCCCAGCUUGAUACAAGAAUUAACUUGAUUUCCACAUUCAGCCAAGUCAGAACACCUGUCUAGAUACACAGCAUGGGAAUCACCAGGAAAAGUUGGAAUAUUGGUAAAAAUGAUUCACAGUUUUCUUUUCUCAUUUUAGUGGGCUCCAUCUAAUAUUGCUGGAUCACAUGACUCAGAGCAUUUUUGAGAAAAGAUCCUGAAAAAAAUCACACAAGCAGAACUGAAUAUGAUUGAUAAUAGGACAUUGAAGGCAGUGCCAGCUGGGAGGAUGGAUGGAGAGAUUGCUGGGACCGACCUCAGGUCUGGGCACCACCCAGUGAGUCUCACCAUGGAGAAACAGAGGAACACUGCUUCCUGAAGCCUCUGGCUCCCAAAGGAAAAAGGAGGUGAGUGGCUGCGCAGCCCUAGUUUAUAUUUCAUUUUUUUACUAAUAUGGAUGGUACAUUUUUAAAUUGUGAUAAAUAUAUAUAACUUGAAAUUGGCCAUAUUAACCAUUUGAAGUAUACAAUUCACUGUCUUUAAUUACAUUCACAAGGUUGUGCAGAUACCAGAAAUCUGUUUCCAAAACUAUUCAUCCCCUUAAACAGGAACUCUGUAACUAUUAAGUAAUAACUCCCCAUUUCCC